AACUUGGAGAUCAUUAUCCUCUCACUCUCUCGUUCUCUCUCCCAGGCUCCCAGCCGGCGUUGCUGCUCUCCCUCUCUGCAAGGCAGCGUGUGGCAGCCGGCUGGAGAGUAGCAGGGCGCGUUGGCCGGUGGGAGUGGAGUGGUUGCUCUUCUCUCCCUCCGAGAUCUCCACCCCCUCGGCUCCGGCUCACUCGGCUCCGGCCGACGAGGAGGGCCACGGGCGGAGCGAAGCGAAGCAGCGGACAGGCGAGCGAGGCGGGUGGGCGGGGAGCGAACCAACGACGACCUCUUCCCCUCCCGCAUGCAUCCCGUUGUCUCUCCGCUCCCCUCUUGCACGGAUCUGCCACCGGCGCCUGGAUCCCAUCCUCUCCGCCCUCCCCUCGCGCGGAUCCGCCAUUGGCGUCGACGGGAGGGGUGGAUCCGGCGGCCUCUUCUCCUCCCGCAUAGAUCCCGUCAUCUCCCCGCUCCUUGCUCGCGCGGAUCCGCCGCCAACGACGACGGGAGGGGCGGACCCAGCAGCCUCUCAUACGGUGACAACAACGAUUGGUGGACGUGGGCUGACCCAGUUCCCGGCAUCUGCUGCGGCGGCGACAGCAGAGUUGCCGAGGACGACAUCAUGUGCGACUUCCUGCUCAAGCUGCUCCGGGCAGGGAGCAUGGUGGGCACCGACGCGGCUCUGCUGCAGGAGCUGGAAUCCAGGGCGGUGCAUACCUCGCCUAGUCAGCUCUCGAGGCCGGGCUACGGCCGACUGACUUCGAGGAGAUCUCGCCCGCGCCGUGCCUGCCAGCGACCGAUGUCCUUGACUCGCCGUCGGUUCCAGCCACAACCGCCUAGCAUGGAAGCACACCAGAUAAGCACAUGGAUUUUGUUGGGCUAUUGUGCUGUAACACAAGUUUGCCAAACAUUUAUGUGGCAUCAACAUCUAUCUUGGAAGUUGAAGCUAUAGAUAAACAUUAUCAACAACAAAAGCAGGAUGUAUCUUCUCAAAAACAAUGGAAAAAGAUUUGGAUACAUAUUGGUAUGAGCAGACAGUCCUCAAUCCCUGCACUGCACAACUGCAUUGCCCUUUGCAGGGUUGAGUUCAUUGAUAACCUGGAAUCGACAUUGAUUGGAGGUGCCUUGACGUCCUAGAGGAAGAGCCUUACGAUCUAUAUUUUCUUGUAUUUUGGCCUGAGAAAAAAAAUCUGUACAAUCAUGUUAGUGGGAGUGCUAGCUAAAAAUAGCGGAAAAAAAGCUGGAUAGAAUCUGACUCGGGAUAGAAUCUGACUCCUGAAAGCUGGAGUAGGAAACAGUGUGGGGGAACCAGCCUGACUCGACGAAAGAAAAGCGGGAUAUAAUCUAACUCGGGGUAGAAUCUGACUCCUGACGUCGGCUGGGCAAAUUCCCUGACGUGGGUAUAUUCCUGUGUUCUAUUUUGAACCUGAUUUGUGCGUGAACCUGAACCUAGACUCAUGUGUUAUUUUUUGUUUUUUAUUUGUUCCUGGACUCCUGUGCUUUUGAACCUGAUUUGUAAGUGAACCUGAACCUGGACUCCUAUGUUUUUUUUGUUUUUUAUUUGUUCUUGAACUGAUGUAUUUUUGUAUGGGCUUGUGGGCUUGUGGGCUUGUAGAUGGACCUAGAAUUUUUUUUUUGGAUGAAGGAGUAUGGGCUUGUAGA